AUGGAGGGGAGGAUUGGGGCCCCCCAGGCACACAGAGCUGCCUGUGGAUGGGGACAUCCUCUCUCACGUGAGCUGAAAAUUCUCCUUGCUACAAAAAGGAUUGCAGAGAAUGAAGAAACACCAGAUAUGAUUUCAAGCCAUUGGGGUGCUGAUGUGGAUACCGAUGGGCUCCUGCACCUCUUUAGCCAGACAGAUCUGUUAACACCGGAUUUCUGCUACAAUUAUAAAACAUCAUUGGAGACAAGCUGGAUGGGAAAGAACCUCUCCAAAUCAUUCCUGAGUGAUAAUAUGAGAACAUCCAGCCCGAAAGAAAAAUUUGGACCACUCAGUAAUUGCAGAUCUCAAGCCAUCCACUGA
rnacentral:lncRNA from 1 species